UACGUAGGGUGCAAGCGUUGUCCGGAAUUAUUGGGCGUAAAGAGCUCGUAGGCGGUCUGUCGCGUCUGCUGUGAAAACUCAGGGCUUAACCCUGAGCUUGCAGUGGGUACGGGCAGACUAGAGUGCGGUAGGGGAGACUGGAAUUCCUGGUGUAGCGGUGAAAUGCGCAGAUAUCAGGAGGAACACCGGUGGGCGAAGGCGGGUCUCUGGGCCGUAACUGA
rnacentral:rRNA from 1 species